AACAAAGAUGGUCGCCACCAUGUGUUCGUUUGUCGAAUGGCGGCCACUUCGACUACUUAGGCACUUCGGCUGCAUCCGAAGUGCCAAUUUAAAGGGGCAGCAAGAGUCUUUUAAAAUCCAAUCUGCUAAAAUAGUCUUUAACAGGCAAUAUCUUCCAGGGGCCAUAGUCUUAAAGGGGCAUUGUUCACCAAAGUCACAAUGUGCCCACAGACGGUUCUUAAAGGGCCAUACACAGUCCAAUAAAAGUCCAUAAGCCCAAAUGCUGGUUUGAAAGGGUACAAUCUCCCAGGGGCCAUAGUCGCAGGGGAGGAGGCUGGCAAGCAAGCCUCUUGAGGACCAAGUGGCGAAGGGCACUUUGUCACAGACCCAAUGGGAAAAAGUUUCAAUCUGAC